rnacentral:rRNA from 1 species
GUCUCCUACGGGACGCAGCAGUAGGGAAUCUUCCACAAUGGGGGAAACCCUGAUGCAGCAACGCCGCGUGAGUGAAGAAGUCAUUCGGUAUGUAAAGCUCUAUCAGCAGGGAAGAAAAUGACGGUACCUGACCAAGAAGCCCCGGCUAACUACGUGCCAGCAGCCGCGGUAAUACGUAGGGGGCAAGCGUUAUCCGGAUUUACUGGGUGUAAAGGGAGCGUAGGCGGCUGUGUAAGCCAGAAGUGAAAGCCCGAGGCUCAACCACGGGACUGCUUUUGGAACUACAUGGCUUGAUUGCAGGAGAG